GCCAGCAAGUAAUGUGGGGACUCUAGAAAGACUGCCUGCGUAAGCAGAGAGGAAGGAGGGGACGACGUCAAAUCAGCAUGGCCCUUAUGCCUAGGGCUACACACGUGCUACAAUGGCGUAUACAAAGGGUAGCGAGCCAGUGAUGGUAAGCCAAUCUCUAAAAGUACGUCUCAGUUCGGAUUGAAGUCUGCAACUCGACUUCAUGAAGCUGGAAUCGCUAGUAAUCGUGUAUCAGCAAUGACACGGUGAAUACGUUCCCGGACCUUGUACACACCGCCCGUCAAGCCAUGGAAGUUGGAUAUACCUGAAGAUGGUUGCUGUAAGGCGCUGUUUAGGGUAGAGCUAGCAACUGGGGCUAAGUCGUAACAAGGUAGCCGUACCGGAAGGUGUGGCUGGAAUACCUCCUUUCUAGAGACUUGGUUGUUCUGUGGUAUGAUGUCAUUCAAAAGUUCUGUUAAAGUAUUUAACAGUUAUUGAAAAAACUUAAGCCUGGGGCUUGUAGCUCAGGUGGUUAGAGCGCUACACUGAUAAUGUAGAGGUCCGUGGUUCGAGUCCACGCAAGCCCACUUUAGUGCUUGUUGCAUACAAAAUAUAUUUUUUGUUGGUCUCAGACACAUGGGGGAUUAGCUCAGCUGGCUAGAGCGCCUGCCUUGCACGCAGGAGGUCAUCGGUUCGACUCCGAUAUCCUCCACUUUUUUCUUUAAAAUAAAUACUUUAUCAAGCAACUUUAGUUGCUCUAAACUGUACGCAUAUUAUUUGUUUUGCUAUAGCCGUAACAAAAUAUUUAUAUGCUAUAUGACAGUUGAAAGUUCUUUGACAUAUUGGGAUAAUGUAGAUUUUAUUAAUAUUAAAACACCGAGCACUAUUUUAUAAUAGUACUCAUACGUUUUCGGAUUUAUUUAUUAAAUCCUUGAAGGAAGUAUGUAAGAGCGCAGGGGGGAUGCCUUGGCUCUCAGAGGCGAUGAAGGACGUGAUAAGCUGCGAUAAGCUACGGGG
rnacentral:sRNA from 1 species